AAUGUAAUUGACAAUUUCAAUCAUUUUUGACACGAUAUUUUUUAGCUUGACUUACAUUUGUGUCUAUAACUCAAAUAUAUUGCUACGUGUAUUACCUAUGUCAAUGAAGAUGGCAAUAACGUAGCUGUCCAACAAUACACUUCGAGGAAAUCCAACAAAACAAACAAAUCGACACCCACUUCACAACAAAAUCAAUAAAUCACAAGACUGUACCGACCGCUUCUAUCAAACGAACUAAAACCAAAUAAAAAAGAUCCAUGUUGUUCACGAGACACUGCACGAGCGGUCGCUUCCAAGAGGCCCGCAAACAAAAUGGUGAAUGUUUUCCUGUAAACUGUACUGGCGUGCUGUAAUUGGCUGCGGUCGAGUGAGCACACGGCGAAACGAAAGCGUCGGCCGCCACAGCCGCUGCACUCCCAAAACGCUGUUACGUAACUACUGCAAGUACAUCCUCCGAAAACCGUUCCAGAAACCUGCAGGAAUACCGAAGAUCGAAGGGGCGGCCAUGAAAAACGUGUCGCAGAGAUGACUCACCGCGCGCACCAGCGCCCUCUACAACCCCCCCCCCCCCUCUGCAUUGGAGAUCGCAGAUCGGUAUCCGAGAAAAAUACAACCAAAGCCCCUAACCUUGAGCACUGCACUAGCUUGGGUAAUUGAUUACAAAUGACCCGCUACGGACUUACCCGAAUCGCCUUGCGGUCGUGAACUAUUGUGGCAAUAAUGAGAGGUUCUGUUUGUUGUGUCACCAGAGCUGAGUGCUCAGUCAAGUUGCAGCGUCGGCCGACAUGGCGGGUCGGGUGACGAGCGCGGUGCGACUGCGGGUCGACACCGAAGUCGCCGGAGAGACCAGGGCCGGGCAUGCGCAGGACUUCCUGGCCAGCCUUCGAUUUAACUUCGGAUGCGCAAAGGAACCAACGCGCAUCGGACACAGCAAAUAACAAAUCCACACAAACGCUAUGACUCUAUUCCUUAUGAAGUAUGAAAGACAGUACUAAGAGCAUUUUUAUUUUUUAGAUUCCAUACUAAUUUGAAAAUUUA